rnacentral:rRNA from 1 species
UACACACCGCCCGUCACAUCACGAAAGCCCGUUGUACUAGAAGCCGGUAAUUCAACCCGCAAGGGAGAUAGCCGUCCAAGGUAUGACUGGUGAUUGGGGUG